ensembl:lncRNA
UGCUAAGAUAAGGAAGACAUCCUCUUCUGAAAAACAGACACAUCCAUCCUGCUAAGAUAAGGAAGACAUCCUCUUCUGAAAAACAGACACAUCCAUUCUGCUAAGAUAAGGAAGGAAAGAGGCAGAUUUUUUGUAAAACAGCUUGAUGCUGUCUAAACACUUUUUUGUGCAAAGACUUGAAGGAACUUUUCUAUUGCAUUUGUAUUACAUAUGAAUCUUUGUAAUUACAUUUGUGAUACAUCCGUUUCCACUCCCAGUUAAGCAGUCCUGAACCUUACUUUCUUUUCCCCUGUAAUGGGUGUGGAUGGUGAUGUACCUUAAACUUUGCAUGUCUGUCUCCCCAUUUUUGUCGGGGCUUGUGUAGAACACUGAUGGACCAGACUUGGCCGUGUCUUUAUUUUGUGUAGCUUUGUAGCGGUAACCUCGCAUGCGAUAAAUAUUGUGAAACAUUAACCAGGUUUCCAUCCAACCUUUUAAUGCGUGUAACGUACAUGUCAGAUAAAACAUUUAAUCACAGGCCUGAUGGAAACAGAUCAUUUUUGUCAGUAAACUUGCCAAAUGUCAACAAAACAAAAUACGCUAGACAAGGUGGGACCUUUUCGUGUCGGUAAAAUUAAUUACGUGAGAAAUGUUGGUGGAAACAAUUUUAUGCGCAAAUAUUGAUAUACUAGCCAUCAUAUCGAAGUAAACUUGGAGUGGUUGUGUGGUCCUCCCACUAAAGUUGUGUGGUCCUCCCACUAUGACUCAUAGGGAAAGCAUGCAGGUAUCUUUAUGUGUAAUACAUCAUCACACACAGACUUUUAUCCACAAGUCAAUUUGAUGGAAAAACAUCUCUGGUGGGAAAAUGCUCAUAUUGUUUUUAUACGUUUUUUAGCAUAUUCACAUGAAAAUCUGUCACCAGUUGGAUGGAAACCUAGCUAUAGAUACUCUGCUAUUAUUUGUCAUGUAGAUUUACAGUAUCUCCUGUCCGGUUGCCCAAUGGGCAAUUGUUUUUGUGAAGCAUUGUAUACCUGGAUGUGAAAUAGACUACUGUAUCUUCUCUGAACCUUUGUAAUUAUCUUUGACUGAUUCGGUCUUUUUUUGCCUUUUCAGCUGUUUUAGAAGUAUUUUUUAGGGGAAAUGCAAAGCCUCUUUCAAUCAGAAAACAAUCAGUGUACCUUUAAAUGUUCUGUUACAUUUGCCUGACAGUCAAAACUGUGUUGCAUUCAAACUGUUACCUUUGUGCAUUUAAUGUUUGUUCUUUUUAAAACAUAUUUUUGUACUUAAUUUGCGCAUGUAAAUUAUAAUUUAUUAAACCUUGCUUGCUGAAAAUGAACCUGUUUGCUCUGAGUCACCUAAAUUGUUCCAGUAACAACGAAGCCAAUGAAUAGGCAUUUCGUGCCAUGUGUGUUCAUUUUAGAAUAUGGUAAAUGUGUCCAGAACACCAGUCAUUGAGGUACAUGGCAUGCUACGUUUGCGUGUACAUGCAAAAUGACCUUGACAAAAGGGGCUGCUCCUCUCGAUCUGCAUAUUAAGAGUGACAGGCAGUGCUAUAGACGGCCCAGGGCCCACGUGACCGUAUGCAGCAUCCCCUCCAACUAGGCGUCAAUCACACUGAUUCGCUCUGGGAUUAACACAAAACCCACAAUACCUUUAGGCACGGCCCUGUCUGCAUUCAGGAGAUUUUUAAUUGCUAGAUACAUAUGCAAACAUUGUCCCUUGGGGUUUAUGCAUUUUAUGAUUUUAUGUUUAAUUAACCCACAAGCAAUUUCUUUCCGCACAAUUUCCAAAAACCUGUCAUGCCUUAUCUUCUUCACUUGCGGCUCAUUAUAAGAUCAAACUCUACCCUUGCAUUUAAACUGGCAGUGAACAAAAACAGUUGUUAUUUUGGUUCUUUUUGGUUCAUGGUCUGAUUGAGUUUCAGACACUUUCCACUGGAGGUUCUACUGGGCAGUGUUUACUGGCGGAGAACCACAGCCAUCCUGAAUGACAGCAGCUGGCCUCUCCUAAUUGAAUGUGAAAUCCCAUGAAAUGCUCUGCCAUUGUUCUCAGCAGUAACUGU